AAGGCCUCACGCGCUCUCGGUAUGGACGCUAGAGCCUGGUGUGUUCCCCGUCUGCUUCCUCAAUCCUCAACUCUUCUAUAUCCAAUUUCAGGCUCAUCUCAUCCUCAACUCUCGGUAUGGACGCCCGAGCCUGGUGUGUUCCCGUUUGAUCGCUCAUCUCAUCGAGUUUUAUGUACUAUGUUUUUUUUUUGGCCCAGUUGAGUAGUACUAUAAUUGGCUUCUUUUUGGUUUCCAAUUUUUUUUUGGCCCUUCACAUGACACAUCUAUCCAUGGGGAGAUUAUCUUGCUGUUAAUUCGGAAUUGACAUCUAUCAUGGCAUAACGACUGAAGUCACUGAACCAUAGUAUAAAAUAAAACCAAUAAAAAUAGUUUUUUCAUUUGUUUAUUCGUAAUUCUUGAAGUGUACCAGUUUACACAAUUACUAUCGUUUACUGAAAAUAUGUUGUAUGGGCCAAUCAGUCAGUGAUGCAUAUACUUCCCGCGAGUUAAAGAUUCAGCUGACACCUGUUGAUGGAACAAAAUAAUAUGUAUUUGUCGGCAUGGUUUUUAAGGUGCACACCUUAGGCAAUGUGUGGGCGCUAAGGCGCCCUGGCAACGCUUUUGAAAUUUGCUCGCCUUUGGCGAUUAGCCGUCCGCCUACGACGCUUAGGCGAAAAAUGGGGGGGUAGAACGCCUUAGGAGGCCUUACCGCCUUAAAAAACAUGAUUCGUCUAUCAUUGUUCUUGGUAAUUGAGUCUUAAACAUGACCAUACUUCAUGAUGUAGCAAGUGGAAGCAAGUUGAGCAUCAUUCCUUCAACAAAAUUCCACAAGCAUCUGAUGGUUCUGGUAAAAUAUUCAAGAUGGUGUAUCAAGUUUUAAAAAGUCAGGUUCCCCUGGUUAGGUAUAUAUUGUUCAUGUUAUUAAUUUUUCUUUUAAGGAUCAGAAGAUUACUCUUGAUUAUGAUUUUGUUAUCUGAGCUUAACUGGUUCAGCCAGAACAUACAAAGAGGGAGUACUAAAGAACAGAUUAUCAGAAUAGUGGAUUUGAUAUAAUGGAAGUUUCCUCUCCUAUUUUUUCCACACCUAAGUUUCGGUGGCGACUACUCUUCUCUCUGCAGCCGGUACUCAUCUACAGGAUUAGUAGAGAUAAUUUCAAAGUCUGAACUGAUAUUGGGGACUACAAAGAUUGCGAUUACGCCCUAUAUAUGUACCUGGACAAGACCUUCAUUUCAUGAUCUCCAACCAAUUCAGUGGGACCUUGGAAGAUUUACAAAACAUCAAAUCCAUAAACUACAAUAAAUCAUGAAAAAUUUGUGGCUCAUGAUGGCAAAGGAUAAACUAGAUGCCACAACAACCAACCGAGAACGGUUCAUAAGAGAAACCAAGAUUUCACAAGGUUGAUUUCAGGACAACCGUUCAAGACUGAGUGGCUGACCUUGCAUCGCCUCUAGAAUUAUCUUCUUACCUUCUGGUAUGGCUUUUUGGUACGGAGCUAUGAUCUCGUGCUUCAAUGACUGAUCUUACCUCUGCAGACAUACUUACCUGCUACAUAUCUGUCAUGUUUUGUUGAUCUAGGAAGUACAAUUUGUUGGUGUCCUUAGAUUUAAAACAUUUUAGUUUGCGCUUUUGGUUACAUGUUGCAUGCCACCAUAUAUUUGCAUGAAAUCCUAUUAUUUUAUCGGGAGAUGUGACAAUGAGCGACAUCAGGUUAAGAAUUAGCCCCGCAACUUUCAUUACAUGUGUCAUUGAGAGCUGGUGUUACAUGGAAGACAUCAUCUCUAAACAUUUUUGUAACAAGGUUUUAUAUGUUAGUUCUUUUGUUGUGGUAUCUAAAGAGAGAUAGCCAGUGAAACUUCAUUGCUCCAAUGAGUAUUGUAUAAAUAUCCUUUAAAAUUAAACUGUAAGCUUCAGAG